GUUGGGCUGCGGUCCGCGCCGCGCGCCCGCCCGGGCAGCCGCGACGAGGGGCCGCCCCGUAGCCGGGUCCUGCCGUUACCUGGGAGAGCCGGGAUAAUUUUCAAGCGAAAACCAGAAAGCUGUGUUGCUUUUGGCUGCUGACACGACCGCGGGGUCGCUCCUCGGAAGUCCCCAUGAUGAAGACGGUUCAGUUCCGCGCCGUGAGGGCAUGGCGACAGCACAGCGCGACGGGGCGACUGGGCCUCCUUGGGGACCAAAACACCUCUCGCGUAGGAAUUACGACGACCCACGGCGCCCCUGGUUCUGCCCCCAAGGAUCGCUCAGCAGAACAGAGAGAAGCCCCAACAGCACAGCAGUAAUUUCACCCCCAGCCCCCAAAUACAAUCACAUUUUUUUUCCCCCAAGUGUUUAGCAAAUGUAACCUCUGUGUUUUAUAACUUACAUUCAUUGAUCCAACUGAUGUGUUUCUCUUUUGGACAAAUAGUCAUUACAUCUGAAAGUUUACAACUUGGCUUUGAAGUUAAUGUUCACUGAGAUGAAGGAGAAAGUUCACACUUCUUCUAUUGUUUCCAUCCCCCUUGGCUGCGGACCAGAGAAGACAGUAAUGUAGUAAAUUUACAAGUGAUGACUAUUUUUGCAGCCAGAAAAGUCAAAAACGUCUUAAAAUAAUAAUGGCUUGAAUUCUGUAGCACUCAGCAAAAUGCUGCGAAAGGAGGGAAAUGACUCCAGGAAACCUAUGAAUGUUUCAUAAUUAUUAAUUUCUCUGUUUACUAGUUUAACUUCAUCUGUCUUCCACGUAGGGUGCGUUGCCCUUCCUCAGAUUCUGCUGCUGUUCCUACCACCUUUCCUUGCAUUGCCCACAGCUGUUAUUCCCCACCAGAAAUCUGGGGAUCACCUGGAUCACCGCCUUGGACCAUGGGCAGCGACGUGCCUGCCGUCACCUUGGCCCUGAGGACACCAGGGAGAGCACGUUUCCAGCGCCCCGUGCCCCGGUUUAUAUACGUGCGAGGGAUGAGGAGAUAAAAAGCAGAUGAGCGAAACCGUGCUGUUUUUAUAGCGUGUUGUUUGACGAUUCCCGCUGCCAGCACGGCCAGGAGAAGGAGCACAACCGCUGCACCAGCAGGGGAAUUUUGCCACUGCCUGCAGGCUCCAAGCAGAGUAAUUCAGGUUGAAAGGGACACGGGCGCAAAGCAGGGCUGAGGGAAGGGUUGUCCAGGGUUUGGUGCAGCACCUCCUGAAGCUCUCCCAGCUCGGCAACUCCACCGCCUCCCCGGGCAGCUGGCACCAGUGUUAUCCACCCUCCCGGGAAACACAUUUUCCUUACUCCCCAUGGAGAUUCCCUUUGCGACUCCUGUUUCUUGCUCCUCUCUUUGCACCUCCACGAAGAACCUGGCUCCACCACCUCUGCACCCCCUUCAAGCAGCUGAAGGCAUUGAGCAGGUCUCCUGGGGGGAAGGACCCCGCAGCCCCCGGCCGGACACAGUGCACCAGGGCACAGCGGGUGACCAGCCAACGAAAGGCACCGGGAAGCUCCACGCGCUCCCUCCUGGCUAGGGCUUAUCCAAAAUUGUGCUAAGGCUACAGGGAAUUUGGUUACGUCAGGAGCACCCACAGCACGCCCCCCAGAUACCGCUGUAGCACUCGAAUGCAGCUAAUAAGCAGAUGUUCUCAGAUAAUAAAAUAUCUUCUUAAAUGUAAUCUACAGACCAGCAAGAUUUCCAAUACGCAACGUAUAAUUUAAAGCUAAAGUGCAUUAUUAUUGCACUGCUUCAAACCACGGCUCGGCGUACCGCGGCCUUGGCUGGAACGCUUCAGCCCAGUUCAAACCAAGCCCAAAGCCCCGCACGCCGUGGGCCCCGCGCGCCUGUGCAGCGGCCCGAAUUCCCGGGGAGCUGCCGCCACUCUCCCUCCACGUGUCGGAAAUCGGAUCUGGCUCGCUGGAAAUGCCUGCCUGCUUUAUUUUACUCCAUUUAAUCCUUCGCUGUAACGCUAAAUAAAACCUGCUUAUUAUUAACCCUCCCAA